rnacentral:rRNA from 1 species
CUCAAACCUCAGAUUCCCACGCAAUUUGAAGCUGUUCCCGAGUCCCCACUCUUCCUCCACUGCCUUCUUGGGAAACGGGCAGAAGAGUUCUCCUCCUUGCGGUUUCGAAAAAGGGCUCAUCUUCGUCCCUCCCAACACCGAACCCGCCCAGCCACCAUCCCGAUACUGCUUCCGCCAUGGUUCAGAUCAAGGAAUUCCGAAUCAUCAUGCCUAUGUCGAUGGAGGAGUAUGAGAUAGGGCUCAGCUACACCAUCAUGAAGAUGGAGCAGCAGAAUACAAAUGGCAAGGAGGGCGUGGAGGUGCUGCAGCAGGUCCCUUUUGAGGAUGAGAAACUGGGCGAAGGCCAAUUCACCUCGAAAGUUUAUCAUUUGCAGAGCAAAAUUCCAUCUUGGAUGAAGGGCUUUGCAUCCGCGAGUUCUCUCGCUGUGCAUGAGGACUCGUGGUCCGCGUAUCCAAAGAGCAGAACAGUGAUCAAGUGCCCGCUUUUUAGCAAGUGUUCACUGACGAUUGACACUGUGAUAAGACCUGACAACGGCUGCUCUGAAAAUGCGCACAAUCUAAACAGCCAGCAGCUAGCUGAAAGAGAGGUGGAGAUCGUCGACAUCGCGUCAGUAUCGCGGGACUACUGGAGCAAGGUGAUCACUGCUCCAAAAGUCGACCUCACAACUUUCAAGUCCCAACGGACGGACCGAGGCCCUCUUCUGAAUGGGUGGAUGGAUUCUUGCCGUCCCGUGAUGACCAUAUACAAGCUUGUGAUCAUGGAUGCUCCCAUCUGGGGCCUGGGCGAACGGCUCGAAGAUUGCCUCAUCGCGGGGGAGAGGGCGCUGUUUCUGGCGUGCCACCGGAUGUGCUUCGCGUGGAUAGACGAGUGGUACGGCAUGACCAUGGAGCAGAUCCGGGAGAUGGAGAGGCACACGGACCUACUCCUCAAGAAGACACUGAAAAAGGCUGCAAAACCUGGGAGCAAGCACGAGGGCAAGAGGAAGUCCCUCAAAGACGAAAUCGCCGUCGUGGGGAGCUGCACAUAGUGCUGGUUCCGUGAGAUGGUCCGUCUAUUUCAGUGUCCCAGUUAGCUGAAUUCCCAAACCAGGAGGACAUUUCAGAUUAAGUGUGCGUCCAAAUAUGGCUUAAUUAACACUGUACAUAUAUGUAAGCAUCCAGUGAAGAUGCUGCUGCUGUAGCCAAGGCAUCAUGGGCUGUAAGUGCGUCUGAUUUAAUGUAAAGUAUUGGAUGAUGGAAUGCCAUGUUUUUUCCAAAAAAAGAGGGUUUAUACUCGGACCUCCGC